rnacentral:misc_RNA from 1 species
GAUGAAGAACGUAGCGAAAUGCGAUAACUAAUGUGAAUUGCAGAAUUCCGUGAAUCAUCGAGUCUUUGAACGCACAUUGCGCCCCCUGGUAUUCCGGGGGGCAUGCCUGUCCGAGCGUCAUUGCUGCCCAUCAAGCACGGCUUGUGUGUUGGGUCCCGUCCCCCUCUCCCGGGGGACGGCCCCGAAAGGCAGCGGCGGCACCGCGUCCGGUCCUCGAGCGUAUGGGGCUUUGUCACCCGCUCUUGUAGGCCCGGCCGGCGCUUGCCGACACCCAACCAUUUUUUUCAGGUUGACCUCGGAUCAGGUAGGGAUACCCGCUGAACUUAAGCAUAUCAAUAAGCGGAGGA